rnacentral:sRNA from 1 species
GGGUGCUGGCAUCCCAGGCCCCAGCAGGGCAGGGUAGGGGGCUCCAGGAGGUUCUGGGGAGGGGCCCCCCCUUUCUUCUCCAUCACAACCCCUCCCCGCAGACCUCCCAGGAGCUACACUGCCUGAUGUGGGCCUGGAACUGGAGGUGCGGCCCCUGGCAGUCACCGGACUGAUCUUCCACUUGGGCCAGGCCCGGACGCCCCCCUACUUGCAGCUGCAGGUGACCGAGAAGCAAGUCCUGCUGCGGGCGGACGACGGAGCAGGGGAGUUCUCCACGUCAGUGACCCGCCCCUCAGUGCUGUGUGACGGCCAGUGGCACCGGCUAGCAGUGAUGAAAGGCGGGAAUGUGCUGCGGCUGGAGGUGGACGCGCAGAGCAACCACACCGUGGGCCCCUUGCUGGCGGCUGCAGCUGGUGCCCCAGCCCCUCUGUACCUCGGGGGCCUGCCUGAGCCCAUGGCCGUGCAGCCCUGGCCCCCCGCCUACCGCGGCUGCAUGAGGAGGCUGGCGGUGAACCGGUCCCCCGUCGCCAUGACUCGUUCUGUGGAGGUCCACGGGGCAGUGGGGGCCAGUGGCUGCCCAGCCGCCUAGGGCACAGCCAACCCCGGCCCCUGGUCAGGCCCCUGCAGCUGCCUCACACCACCCCUUGUGCUCGCCUCAUAGGUGUCUAUUUGGACUCUAGGCUCUACGGGUGACAGAUCUUGUUUCUGAAGAUGGUUUAAGUUAUAGCUUCUUAAAUGAAAGAAUAAAAUACUGCAAAAUGUUUUUAUAUUUGGCCCUUC